CAGUCGCCACGGGAAUACGUAGGGUGCAAGCGUUAAUCGGAAUUACUGGGCGUAAAGCGUGCGCAGGCGGUUUGUUAAGACAGAUGUGAAAUCUCCGGGCUCAACCUGGGAACUGCAUUUGUGACUGGCAAGCUAGAGUAUGGCAGAGGGGGGUGGAAUUCCGCGUGUAGCAGUGAAAUGCGUAGAUAUGCGGAGGAACACCGAUGGCGAAGGCAGCCCCCUGGGCCAAUACUGACGCUCAUGCACGAAAGCGUGGGGAGCAAACAGGAUUAGAUACCCCAGUAGUCCCUGUCUCUUAUAC
rnacentral:rRNA from 1 species